GGCGAUGAUGACAUCCUGGCACUGCUGCAACUCCUGAGUGCUCACUGGGGAAGCCAGCCUUGAAGAGCUGAGUGUGCU